UACGUAGGGCGCAAGCGUUGUCCGGAAUUAUUGGGCGUAAAGAGCUCGUAGGCGGCUUUGUCACGUCGGGUGUGAAAGCCCGGGGCUUAACCCCGGGUCUGCAUUCGAUACGGGGCUAGCUAGAGUGUGGUAGGGGAGAUCGGAAUUCCUGGUGUAGCGGUGAAAUGCGCAGAUAUCGGGAGGAACACCGGUGGCGAAGGCGGUUCUCUGGGCCUUACCUGACGCUGAGGAGCGAAAGCGUGGGGAGCGAACAGG
rnacentral:rRNA from 1 species